rnacentral:rRNA from 1 species
UGCCAGCAGCCGCGGUAAUACGUAGGGGACAAGCGUUGUCCGGAUUCAUUGGGCGUAAAGAGCUCGUAGGCGGUUCAGUAAGUUGGGUGUGAAAGCUCCGGGCCCAACCCUGGAACUGCAUCCGAUACUGUCAGGCUAGAGUCCCGGAGAGGGUGGCGGAAUUCCCGGUGUAGGGGUGAAAUCCGUAGAUAUCGGGAGGAACACCAGUGGCGAAGGCGGCCUCCUGGACGGUGACUGACGCUGAGACUCGAAAGCGUGGGUAGCAAACAGGAUUAGAUA